UUAUCGUACAACCGAGAUGCCCAGGGCUGUCGCUGACCUUCGUGGGUCGUGCACGCCCGAAGGUGUUCUCUCAUGUCCAUCUCACCCCUUUGUGCAUCACCGCGUGGGCCCCCCUAUUGGGAUUGUUCCGAGAAGGGGGUUUCACGUUUUUAAACAGACACCAUUUUUUCAAAUGCAUGUGUAGAAUGUCUUACUUUUUGCGAUCACGCGAAAUCAAUACAACUUUCAACAACGGAUCUCUUGGCUCUCGCAUCGAUGAAGAACGCAGCGAAAUGCGAUACGUAAUGUGAAUUGCAGAAUUCAGUGAAUCAUCGAAUCUUUGAACGCACCUUGCGCCCCUUGGUAUUCCGAGGGGCACACCCGUUUGAGUGUCGUGAACACCCUCAACCUUCUUGGUUUUUCUACCGGGAAGGCUUGGACUUUGGAGGUUUUCCUUGCUGGCCUCCCUUUGAAGCCAGCUCCUCCUAAAUGAAUUAGUGGGGUCCACUUUGCCGAUCCUUGACGUGAUAAGUAUGCUUCUACGUCU
rnacentral:rRNA from 1 species